UACAUCUUAGUACUUCCAGGAUGGAUGGCAAACUUUGAGUUAUGAGCCUCUGUCAUAAUAUCCCUUUUAACCUCACUGUCACAUGGAACACAUACCAUAUCUUGAAAUCUAAGCAACCGAUCGGCAGAGACUCAAAAUUUAGGAUUUACUCCAUGUUCUGCAUCUUUCUUGAGGGCUGAUAUGGUAGAAUCAGCGGAUUGGGCUUCCUUUAUUCUCUAGAUCAACUCAGGUUGAACAGUCAGGUGGGUCAAGCAUGUAACUCUCGUCAGGUCCUGAAGUCGUACCUGUUGUGCGACCCUUAUUACUCUACAUUCUGAAACCAUUAAGUGAUAUACCUAUACUUUUUCUACUAAGUGCAUUGGCUACCAUGUUAUCUUUACUUGGGUGAUACAAGGUGUUGCAAUCGUAGUCAUUGAGGAGUUCUAUCUAUCUUCUCUAACGCAUGUUGAGAUCUUUUUGAAUGAAUAUAUGUUCAAGCUCUUAUAGUAGGUAAAGAUCUGAAAAGUCUCCCCAUACAAGUAAUGACAUCAAGGCUUCAAGGCAUGAAUAAUCGUGGCA
rnacentral:lncRNA from 1 species